rnacentral:lncRNA from 1 species
GACCAGGCAGGUGCAAAGUACAGAGUCUGGAGUUGAGGGACAGGAGCCUCCUGCUAGCGUGUGUUAGCCGGGAGAAAACCUUGUAUUUGGCAAUGGCGGGGGCCAGUUACCAGCUGUUUAACGUGAGGGAGACUUGGCUUUCAUUUGGUUCAUUUGGUAACCCUCUAAGUGCACUGAGGAUCAGGGCCGGCUCUGCAAUUUGCGGGGCCCCGUGCACAAUGAAAUUGUGGGGCCCCUUGUUCAAAAAGUGAGAGUGAAGUACCUUUGACGGCGGUGAAAGAGGAUACCGUGCAGUGAAGAGAUGAGUGAUGGACUAAGAGAAGACCUGAAACUGACAAGAGAUUGUUAUGCAGAAUAUACAGGAUAAUAUAUCUUCAAAUUAAGAAUGAAAAAAAAAGAAGAACCCCAAAAAUGUGUAAAUAAAAUGAACAGGCAAUUCAGAAAAGGAUGAGUCUGGGUGCUUAAAAUAAUAUGAAGAGAUACUCAAUGCAUGGGUAAUCAGAGAAAUGCCAGAUUAACUAUAUUGUUCU